rnacentral:lncRNA from 1 species
UGAGCCUCCUUCCACCAAGACUACAUGCCCUCCCGUCCUGACCCUGCCCCAAAUGCCAGGAGCAAAUGUGACCCCCCUGCCUCUGACUCCCCACCCUCUCUGCUGUGUGCUCCCCCCACCCUGAUUUUAACGACGGUUCUUUUCUGCCCCCUGCACGGCGGCUCCUGAGGUUCAGGUGGACUUCUAGGAUGGAACUGCUCUGUUUGGCCACUGAGGAGAGUGGCCGCCUUUGAGCUGUCCAGGGACCUGCUGGGCCUUUCUCCAGCAACGCGGGUGGUCACGGUGCUUGGUGAAGCGGUAGCCUGUGCCAGGAACUGGAACCAGAGAUGCCACUCUUUCUGGGAAAGCCAUGCAGAAACCUGAUCAUCCAUUUACAUCUCAGUUCACCAUGCGGGCAUCCAAGGGACCAGAUGGGACAUCAUGGGAAAGGUGACGUGGCAUCAGGCCCAGGAGGAUGGAUACGCUCUUGCAGACAGAAGGAGGAGACAUCAGGGACCUGGGAAGAGGAUGAGCCAAAGCAGGGAGUACGACAGUGCUGGACUCCUUGAGAAAUAGCUUGGUGUCCAACUGGUUAGACACAAGAAACCCCACUUGGCUUCAAAGUUACGGAAGAUUUUUCUCCUUGGGGACCGCGGAGAUGUUCAAAGUUUGCCUCCCAGAGAAGACCGGAAUUUGCUUGAAGUGUUUUAAAAAAGGCAUCAAAAUACCGCUAUUGUCCUUGACCCUCAAAUGCAAAAAUUAAAAUCCUCAAACAGAAAGCGAUCUUGAAAAUCUCAUGGAAAUACGUUCUCUAGAGAGCUGAGGCCAAAAAUGAAAACUUUCUUCUCCAGGAGGGUACUGGUCAGCUUAGAAUGAAAGACACAGAAGGGACAGAUUAUAAGAGAAGAUUGUCGAGCUGCUGAGACCACGCCAGGUCUCUCAGCCCAGAACUUCAAGACCUCAUAGACCUUAACGAUGGGAGAGAACUGGAAACACGUAAGCGAAUAAAGUCUGUCAUAUAAUUUCA